rnacentral:rRNA from 1 species
AGAGUUUGAUCCUGGCUCAGGAUGAACCUAGCGGCCAGGCUUAACACAUUGCAGUCGAGGGGUUAAAUAAAGAGCUUGCUCUUUAUGAGACCGGCAAAACGGGGUGCGGAACACGUACACACCUACCUUUUAUCAGGGGAAUAGCCCAGAGAAAUUUGGAUUAAUGCCCCAUAGUAUUUAAUUGAAUGGCAUCAUUUUAGUAAUUAAAGAACUCGGAUAAAGAUGGGUUGCCGUAAGAUUAGCUAGUUGGAGAGGGUAACGGCUCACCAAGCAACGAUUCUUUUAGCUGGAUGUGAGAGCAUGAUCAGCCACACGGGCACUGAGACACGGGGUCCCGACUCCUACGGGAGGCAGCAGUGAGGAAUAUUGGACAAUGUGACGGAAGUCUGAACCAGCCAUGCCGCGUGAAGGAGAAGCGCUUCUGCGUUGUAAAACUUCUUUUAUUUAGGAAGAAACCACUGAUUUCUAGCUUAGUGUUGACGGUAUUAAUGAAUAAGCACCGGCUAACUCUGUGCCAGCAGCCGCGGUAAUACGGAGGGUGCAAGCGUUAUCCGGAUUUACUGGGUUUAAAGGGUGUAGGCGGCUUUUUAAGUCAGGGGUGAAAUCCCGAGGCUCAACCUGGGAACUGCCUUUGAUACUAUUAAGCUUGAAUUAUGUUGAGGUUGGCGGAAUAUAACAUGUAGCGGUGAAAUGCAUAGAUAUGUUGGAGAACACCGAUUGCGAAGGGCAGCUGGCUAAACAUUAUAUUGACGCUGAGGCACGAAAGCGUGGGUAGCAACAGGAUUAGAUACCCUGGUAGUCCACGCCGUUAAACGAUGAUUACUCGUCAUUUGCGAUACACAGUAAGUACCAGCGAAAGCAUUAAGUAAUCCACCUGGGAAGUACGACCGCAAGGUUGAACUCAAAGGAAUUGACGGGGGUCCGCACAAGCGGUGGAAGCAUGUGGUUUAAUUCGACGAUACGCGAGGAAACCUUACCUGGGCUAGAAUGUGAGUUGACCUGGUGAAAGCCACUUUUCCUCAAGGACACGAAACAGGUGCUGCAUGGCUGUCGUCAGCUCGUGCCGUGAGGUGUUGGGGUUAAGUCCCGCAAAGCGCAACCCCAUCUUUAGUUGCCAUCAUUAAGUUGGGAACUCUGAGAAACUGCCGCGUAAGGCGAGAGGAAGGAGGGGGACGACGUCAAGUCAUCAUGGCCCUUACGAGUAGGGCUACACACGUGCUACAAGUAUGUACAGAGGGAGGCAAGCUUGGCGACUAGUUGAGCGGAUCUCUUAAGCAUAUCGAGUCCGGAUUUCCAGUCUGCAACUCGACUGGUUGAGUCGGAAUCGCUAUUAAUCGCAAAUCAGAUGUUGCGGUGAAAUAUCGUUCCGGGCCUUGUACACACCGCCCGUCACACCAAUGGGAGUGGGUGCAAAAAGGAAGUUAGGUAGCUUAACCUUCGGGAGGCGCUUACCACUUUGUGAUUCAUGACUGGGGUGGAAAGUCGUAACAAGGUAACCCUAGGGGAACCUGGGGUUU